ensembl:lincRNA
GCAGAGAGUGAGCAAGGGCCUGACGUUAGGUGUGUGAGGUGGCCCUGCUCACAGCGGUCAUCCCUGUGCUGGGCGAGCCUGCCUCGCACUCCUGGGGGGAUGGACGCCGCUGCUCACUAUUUAUACACCUGCCCUUGGAAAGUGGCUUCCUGGCUUGUUUCUGAUCAGAUCUGUGGGGUCAGAGGGUCCUCCCUGCAAGCCUCAAACAGAGCUGCUCCCUGAACUGCCAGCACUGCAGCAUCGUGGCUCAUAACUCAGAGGGAAGGGGAGGGCCUGUGCGAGUCCUUCAGGAAUGCAGCCAACUGGUUAUGUCACGAAAUCUGCCAGCCUGCCUUCCCGUUCGUGGUGAUUCAGGUCUCGGCGGCACGCACGGGUCAUUUCAGCUCUGAUGUUCACUGAUGUUCACGCUGGGUGAGUGGCCAGGGGGAGGGGGAGGGGCACGAGGGACCCUCUGGUGAGGGACACAGCCUCUGUCUCGACAGGGUGGGGUCACUCAGGGGGGUUGCCUUCAUCAAACUCCUCGAUGGGUACCCUUACAGUCUGUGUUUUGCACGAGUAAAUUUUCCCUAGAAAAAUACAAGCGAACGUUGAAGUCUAGUUGGAGCAGUGCGGCUGAAGUGUUCAGGGAUGGUGCAUCGGGAUGUCUGCCAUUUUCCUCUGAAGUGCAUCAAGAAGUGAGACAGAUCCACAGGCCGCUGGAGGGGUGGGACGUGACACGCCGGCAAGGGUACAAAUGGCACAGGCUGCGACCUCAGGGAGGCCCUGUGUCCCGGCAUCACCCUCGGGGAACCUGUGAUGUGGAACGCCAGCAUUUCAUCAUCUAUUUUUGUCUUAUUUCCGACCGUCUACACCUAAUGCCUGGUGGUCCGGAGCCCUUCACAGGUGGACUCAGGAUUCAGCGCCCCCCCAACACACACCUGACAGAACCAACCUGCCCCUCGGGGUCCUGGCUGCUGCAUUGUCGAGAACUCGGUCUGCAGGUGGCGGUCGGGGCUUUCCACACCUGCCUGCUUGCCAUGAGCUCACUCGACACGUCCCCUUCCCCAUCCCCUCCCCAUCACACCUGUCUGUCCACAGAGCAGGUGCCCACAUACCAUCCUCUGCCUGUCACACCUGUCUGUCCACAGAGCGGGUGCCCACAUACCAUCCUCUGGAUGCUGGGCAUGCAGGGGCUGAUCUGGGCUGUGGACGACAGCUGCCCCUCCCACACUCACCUGGCCUGGGCCCCUGCCAGGGCUGUGUCUUCAGCAGCUGUGGGGUGUGGGGGUGUGGACACAGUGCCAGCGAGAGGCCAUCGCUCAGCUGGGCUGGAACGAAGACACCCAGGACACAGGGGAGCGUCCAGGCUUUCACCACCAGCAAAGCCACCACGAAAGCCCCAAGCCCCUGGAGUUCAAAGGUUUCUCCAUGCAGCACGCACGUGGGUGCCACUCGUGGAUGGAGGUCGGGCGUGCACAACCGCGCCAGCCAAGCUGUGUGCUCCCGCGGGUGGCACCAGCACCCACGCCUCCAGAGGGCAGCCCGCCCCCGGCACCCCCGCACUGGCUGGUCUCGUCAACCGAGUGGUGGCAGGGCCGUCUCUCGCUUUUCCUUCAGUUCUGUUAUCACUAUUAUAAAUGCACAUACUGAGACCAUGGAACAGAUCUGAGUCUUGCGCAGGAAAGCCGCGUCCCUCCCAGGGUGCCUCCCCGCGGCCCCGCUGUCCUGUGUGAUCAGGCUCAGUCCAUGGAGCUGACUCGGGCCCCCACGUCUCCCAGGACACUCAGGUGCUUCCGCUCUGGAUGUCCUGUUUCAGGCCCAGGGGUGCCCUGUCCACGCUCGGUCUCCUGGCCCACGGUGAACCCUGCCCACAGUCAGCAUUGACUCCACAGGGAUCACAGGCCACGAUUCACUGCUGAGUUUGUUGUAGAUCAUAAUAGCCUUCCUUACUGCAUAUUUUUGUUGCAAGUGUCUUGGGGGGCUUGUAGGCUGGCUUGCUGUUCCACAGACCGACCCCCAGUGUAACCCCACCCUCUCUCCCCGUCAUGUGAGUCUGCUAACAGUACUGCGCGUGUACGCACACGCGCACACGGUCAUCUGCCCUUCGUCCCUCAUCUGAGCCUUCUGCUGCCGCCAUCGGGGCUGCAUGUCCUCCGUGCCCGGUGCCUGAGGGAGGUUCCGGGAAUCCCCUUCCUCCUGGGGGUGCGUCUCCGCCUUCCUCCAGGGCUGGGUCCCUUUUUUCCGAGAUCCUUUCUUGGUUUGCUCUCUUUCUUGGUGCACUCCCUCGUCUUCCUGGGAGUAAAGUGAAGUUUACUCCUUGUGUUCCUGGAGCUCGCCCUCCAGCACCUUCCUGAGAAAAGACGCCGGGGAGGGACCUGUCCAUUUUGCUCUGUUGCUCAAGCUCCUUGGUGGCAGGACUUGCUUCUGAUUCAUCAUGAGCACCUUUGUUCACUGCGUUUCUCUUGCCUGGAACAUCAACUCCUCUCUUCCACCCAUUCAAACAGCUCUUUAAUAAGAUAGAGCACAUAUAUACAAUGGAAUAUUACUCAGCCAUAAAAAGGAACUAAAUUGGGUCAUUGGUAAAGAUACGGAUGGACCGCAUCUGUCAAACAGAGUGAAAUAAGUCAGAAAGGAAAAAAUAGAUAUCAUAUAUUCACACAUGUAUGUGAAGCCUAGAAAAAUGGUACAGAUGAACCUCGUUCCAGGCAGGACUCGAGACCCAGACGUGGAAAAUGCACAUGUGGACAUAGCGGGGAAGGGGCAGGUGGGAAGGACUGAGAGAGCGGCAGUGACGCGUACACACAGCCGUGUGUGAAAUAGGCGGCUAGUGGGGAGCUGCUGUGCAGCCCAGGGAGCCCGGCCCAGUGCUCCGAGGUGACCUAGAGGGCUGGGGUGGGAGGGAGGAGAUAUAUGUAUACAUACAGCUGAUUCACAUGGUCGUACAGCAGAAACUAACACAACUUUGUGAAGCAAUUAUACUCCCCCCCCCAAAAAAAAAAUUUGCUGUUUACGGCUGGACUCAAAGCCACCUCCUCCAGGGAGCCUUCCCCACUUCUCAGUCCUGAGUGACGGUCAGCCCUUUCCUGUGACUCUGUGUAACUCUCUGCAUCACACCGUCAGCAUUUAUACUCGUCGUGUCCACCCAUUAAUUGAGCACCUGUUCCUUGAGCACUACAACAGGUGUUGGAGGACAUCACGACGAAUCGAAAACAAGCACUCCGUCGGCGGCGGUCCUGGAAUAUCCAAGCAAGAAGGGACCCCUGGGGCCACCCAUGAAACCCUGUCGGGGAGCCAGGAGCCUGAGACCCCAGGGUUACAGGACUUCUCAUUCUGCAAGGACCCAGCCCGGCCCCCUGACCUCUAGGCCCCUAUUCUUCUGUGAUGACGGCUGUCUACAGAGAGGGCAAACACGUGUAAACACCCCACCCCUGUGCCCUGGGGGCAAGUGUCACCGCACUUGUUUUACAAACGAGGCGCCUGAGGCAGAUAUGAGCAUCUCCUGACCAGUGGAACUGUGUCUUGCUCCGGUAGUUUGACCCAAGUGCAGGCUCCUGCAGGCGAGCGUGUGCCGGCCCUCAGUCCUGCCAGCAGAUUCCAGACGUGCAUGACCAGCUGAUGUUCCCUUCCUACACAGGGACCGAACGUGGGGCCUUCCGAGGCACGUGCGUGCUGUGCGUUUCAUGUGGCGGGGGCUUUGUGCAGCAGGAACACCUCCCCCGGGACGAGGAAACUCCCUCUGUCAUCUGAGCGUGGGACCGUCCCGCCUGUCCAGAGCCUGGGGCUGCGUCAGCUCGGGGAGCCGCUUGGGAAAUCAACUGGUUCCCAGUCCCAGCCUCUCCCCUCGCCACCCCCCCCCACAGAGCUGGGGCUCAGCAGUGGACACGGGGGCCGGGCUGUGAGACGCGGCUCCUCACAGAGGACCAGGCGAGACCGCAGACGGGAGCCUCGCCCUGGGCUCAUUCACACCAGCGGGAGCCCAUGUGUGCGUGAGCCACAGCCCAGGCAUCCGCCUGGCUCUGGACUUCCUCUGCAGCUGACGGAUUUUCAGAUGAAAGCAGAAAUUUCCUGUGCCCUUGAUCUCGAGGUUGUCUCCUGGAUGCGUCCCUCUUCCUCUUCAGCUGGGCCGUGAAGGGGACAGAGGAGCAGUUUUAGAGGACAGGGUGGGCAGGUGCCUGUCCCGGCGGGUGGGGAAGAGCCUCCGUCACAGACCCGGCUUGGCGGGCAGCGUGCACAGGCGCGGUCCCCAUGAAGGCCCGCGUCACCCGGGCCUGCGCGUCACCCCCUUCCUGGGAGGCUCCCAGGAGCUCCAGGCUCUGUCCUCUCACACACACGCCCGUAAAUAACUGUGGGAAUGUAAACAGCCUGGCCCUGAGGUCCUGCCUCAGAGGGGGGCUGCUGACACCAGGCCCCGCAGCACCCCCGGCCCCGCCCGACUCUGGAGUCACGGAAGCACGCCCACUUGGCACCAUCUCGGGGCUCCGCAGCCGGGGGUUCCCGGCACACGUCUGCUGGACAGAUGCAUGAGUAAACGAGUGAGCCGAGUCACGUCUGCCGGGCACCUGGCUGCCCGUGACCCUGACCGGACAUGGCCUAGUGGACGCCGGGCCAGCCCCACUUUCCCAACUCGGUGCUUUCCUAGCCUGUCCGUGCUGCCGUUCCUGGUGUAGGUAUGGAUGCAUGGCAGGCCACCCCUCACUUAGCAGCCCUUCUGGCCACCCCCAUCAUCCAUCACCCCGUCAUCCAUGCCCCCCAUGAUCUGUCCCCCUCAUCAUCCAUCCCGGCCAUCCUCCGUCUCCCCCCACCCCCAUCAUCCAUACCUUGCUUCAUCUGUCCCCUCCAUCAUCCAUCCCCAUAAUCAUCCGCCCCAUCCUCCGUUCCCCCUGGCCCCAUUAUCCGACCUCCCCAUCAUCCAGCCCCCCAUAAUCCAUCGUCCCCCAUCCCCAUCAUCCUUCCCAUCAUCCUCUGACCCCCAUCAUCCAUCCCCCCCUUCAUGGGUGUUGGGGGCAUGAGGCCCACAUCCCAGGUCAGUGAGGUCGGGGAGCCAAGGCUCUGGCCUCGGGUUCUGGAAGGAGUUUGGAGACUGUGAAUGGGGUCAGGGUGCAGGGUCACAGGUGAGGGUGGGGAGAUCCAGUGAGUGUGAGCGAGCAGAGUGGGGCGUGGGGCUGGGGCUAGGGAAUGAGCUGGCGGACGUCCCAGAGGCAGAGGGGAGCCAGAGAAAAGGGCAGCUGCUAACAGGCCCCUGGCGAGCUUUCAGGACAUGGCACCACUGCUCAUUUCCAACCAGGGCCGGGUGGUCCAGGGCACAGGAGGCAGAGGAGCCCUGGGGCUCAAGCAUGACCCUGGAACUGGCAACCGAGGCUCCUCAAGCCUCGGCUCACCUGUCCAUGAAAGGGCUGUCCCCCCUCCCAACCCCAGGCUGUGGUGGGAGACCAGCGGACUCGUGCGUGUGAUCUGCUUUGCUGGAGAGCCCUGGGUGGGGUGAAGCGUGGUGAAGGCCACAGCCGGAAGCCAUCACAGGAAGGCUUAGAAGACCGAGCAGGCACCAAAUUGGGCUGAAUAUAGGGGGACGGGGAGACGAGACCCUGCCACACUCCGGUGUGUGCCAGGGAGCGUGUCUGCUGCUUGGGGAAUGUUCAGUAUGUCCAGUCACUGCCUCGGCCACUUUGUCCGUAGAUUGGCUGCUUCCAGCCUGUGUUAUAAAAUAAAUUUCUUUUUAGCUGAAUUUGAUCCAACCCCCUCUGAACUUCAGUUCCCUGGUCCUGGAUCCUCUAUUUGAAACUGGCCCACUGGACACAGUCUUUCUGAAAAG